rnacentral:snRNA from 1 species
CUUUCAGAAGGAGAAAGAAUUGCCUUCAUGUCAAUGAUACAGAGAAGAUUAGCAGGGCCCCUGUGCAAGGAUGACAUGCAAAUUCAUGAAGCAUUCCAUACAUUA